GGCAUCACGAGGGUUAAACUGUCUCCCUUUUCAUAUCAGUGAAACUGAUCUCUCCGUGAAGAAGCGGAGAUAAUACCAUAAGACGAGAAGACCCCAUGGAGCUUUAAACCCAACUACACCCUAGCCUAAUUACUACUUCUUAAUUUUAAGGUCCUGUAUGUUUUGGUUUUAGGUUGGGGUGACCGCGGAGUAUAAACUAACCUCCACAAUGAAUAGAUUUCCUCUUUAUCUAAGAGCUACACCUCCAAGAAUUAGAAUUCUAACAUAAAAUGAUCCGAUAUUUGAUCAACGAACCAAGUUACCCUGGGGAUAACAGC
rnacentral:rRNA from 1 species